UAAGAUGUAAUUCUACUAACAAGUUAUUUCUUUGACCUGGUUUUAUCAAAUUAGACAACUGCUUUGUGUGUACUGCUCACCUCUGGUGAGGAAAUGCUACAACAGGUUUCACCGAGAAAAGAUGACACUUUAAAAUGAAACCUCCCAACCUGGGAUUCUGAUCCUCCUAAAUAUGUAAUAGCUGAGUCAGAGGUUGCGAGGGGAGAGCACGGACGGAUAACGAGACAAUGGGCCCCUGGGGACAACCCUGAAGCCUUGUGUCAAAGCAUUUUUCAGGUAAUCACAGUUUUGUUAAAUGGUUUAUGGCGCUUGAGAAGUAGGAGCUUUUUUUUCAACCAAUAUAAAGAAAUAUUAAACCCUUCCUUUAAAUUCACCAAAUUUGGACAUCAGAGCUGCGUAUCCCAAAAUCCCAACCACAUACCAAUUUCAAGAAGGUGUUUUAGUAUGUUGGGUCUUCGCACUAGAAAUAAGUCAUACGCAAACCUUGAGGUGAGCCUGAGUAGUCGAAUAUUCAACCCUUCGUUUGAAGGAGCCUGAUUUGACUGCCAAUCUCCGUUGAAUCUUUGCAAAGGCGUAUUAUGAAACGAGGAUCAUGCCAUUUUGGCUAUAUGGGGGUGCUGAAUGUCUUGUUUUACAUUGAAAUACCCAUUCUCUCCCAAUAAGUUAAUAUACAGCCUCAUAUGACAAAUGACAUUGCUGUAAAUAAAUGUGAACAGAACGAAGCUUUCAUUAAAUCUUUUUAAAGUGCGCAAAUAAAUCCAACAUAUUUGAGUUUCACUUUCCAUGAACUAUGACGACAGGAUAGUAUUUAGUUGGGAUUAGGGAAAUAGCUACUAAAGUCUUCAUUGGACCCGUGCAUUGUCUGAGGGCAGGGCAGGGCAGGAAGUGCACUUUGCGUGAAGUCCAACCCUACUGGUAAACUCCUGAGUCAUUGAGAAAACAAUCAGGU